GAAAAAAAAAAAAGAAAGAAAAUCCCUUGUCUUUCUUUGUUUUCUUCUUCUCUGCUCUUAGAUUUUUCUUUAUCUAAAUUAUGGCUGGAAAAAGGAACCAAACUAGCCCCAUCGGAAGCCCCUCGUCUGGGAACAUCUCCGACAGCUCUUCCAAAGAGCAAGACCGUUUCCUUCCCAUCGCUAACGUGAGUCGUAUCAUGAAGAAAUCUCUCCCUGCAAAUGCAAAAAUAUCCAAAGAAGCUAAAGAAACUGUUCAAGAAUGUGUCUCUGAGUUCAUAAGCUUUAUCACCGGUGAAGCUUCUGAUAAGUGCCAAAAAGAGAAGAGGAAGACCAUAAAUGGCGAUGAUCUUUUGUGGGCUAUGACCACACUGGGUUUUGAGAAUUAUGUUGGACCCUUGAAGGUCUAUCUCAACAAGUAUAGAGAAACUGAAGGAGAGAAAAAUUCCAUGGCUAGACAAGAAGAUCACCAGUCUCCUCCUCCUCCCGCUGCUGCUGCUGCUAUCGAUAACCUUGGUAAUGAAAUUAACAAAGUAAAUGGUUCUGUAUCAACGGAGCUGAAUUUUCUAGGAUUCAACGGUACUGGAUUCUAUUCGCUUGGUGCGCAAGUAACUCCAACGACAUAUGGAGAGAACUCAAGGUUCGUUGGCCACGGACACAAUUUGGUGGAUGCUGCUGCUUUCAAUAUGAACAGUACACGUGAAAAUGGAGAUGCUAAUAGCAAUAGACCUAUGGCUGCUCAGAUUCAUCAUGGUGUUGAAUGGUAGAUAUAUAUUUAAAAUAAUAUUUUUAUAUGAAAAAAUAAUUUAGAUUUUUUAAAUAUAAUACUAAACAGCCGCUAAAUGAUAUAAUUAAAUGAGUUGCACGUUUGGUUUUUUAUGAACAGUAAAAUGUCAAUCUUACUUUUGUCUUUUCUUUUUUUUUAG
rnacentral:misc_RNA from 1 species